rnacentral:rRNA from 1 species
UACGAAGGGGGCUAGCGUUGUUCGGAUUUACUGGGCGUAAAGCACACGUAGGCGGGUCGUUAAGUCAGGGGUGAAAUCCCGGAGCUCAACUCCGGAACUGCCUUUGAUACUGGCGACCUUGAGGCUGGAAGAGGUUAGUGGAAUUCCCAGUGUAGAGGUGGAAUUCGUAGAUAUUGGGAAGAACACCAGUGGCGAAGGCGGCUAACUGGUCCAGAUCUGACGCUGAGGUGCGAAAGCGUGGGGAGCAAACAGG